GACGAACGCUGGCGGCGUGCUUAACACAUGCAAGUCGAACGGAAAGGCCCUGCUUUUGUGGGGUGCUCGAGUGGCGAACGGGUGAGUAACACGUGAGUAACCUGCCCUUGACUUUGGGAUAACUUCAGGAAACUGGGGCUAAUACCGGAUAGGAGCUCCUGCUGCAUGGUGGGGGUUGGAAAGUUUCGGCGGUUGGGGAUGGACUCGCGGCUUAUCAGCUUGUUGGUGGGGUAGUGGCUUACCAAGGCUUUGACGGGUAGCCGGCCUGAGAGGGUGAACGGCGACAUUGGGACUGCGAGAGGGACCAGAAUCCUACGGGAGGCAGCAGUGGGGAAUAUUGCACAAUGGGCGGAAGCCUGAUGCAGCGACCCCGCGUGCGGGAUGACGGCCUUCGGGUUGUAAACCGCUUUCGCCUGUGACGAAGCGUGAGUGACGGUAAUGGGUAAAGAAGCACCGGCUAACUACGUG
rnacentral:rRNA from 1 species